AGCUCAGCUGGAUAGUGCAUCCCGAUUUUUAAUCGGGAGGGUCAUUGGUUCGAAUCCAAUCCGGA
rnacentral:tRNA from 1 species